rnacentral:rRNA from 1 species
GGAACGAACGCUGGCGGCAUGCCUAAUACAUGCAAGUCGAACGAAGGCUUCGGCCUUAGUGGCGCACGGGUGCGUAACGCGUGGGAAUCUGCCCCUUGGUUCGGAAUAACAGUUGGAAACGACUGCUAAUACCGGAUGAUGACGAAAGUCCAAAGAUUUAUCGCCAAGGGAUGAGCCCGCGUAGGAUUAGCUAGUUGGUGAGGUAAAGGCUCACCAAGGCGACGAUCCUUAGCUGGUCUGAGAGGAUGAUCAGCCACACUGGGACUGAGACACGGCCCAGACUCCUACGGGAGGCAGCAGUAGGGAAUAUGGACAAUGGGCGAAAGCCUGAUCCAGCAAUGCCGCGUGAGUGAUGAAGGCCUUAGGUUGUAAAGCUCUUUUACCCGAGAUGAUAAUGACAGUAUCGGAGAAUAAGCCCCGGACUAACUCCGCGCCAGCCAGCCGC